rnacentral:lncRNA from 1 species
GAUUUGAAAAAAAAUGCAUUCACAUAAGAUGAAGUUUACUGGUGUAGUUAAAUUGGUAUCGCAAACGUAAUUGUAUGAAUACAAAUCACUUCAAAAUAUAAUUUUCUUGUGACGUAAGCGAUUUUCUUGGUGUACUUCUUCAUGAAAGCUGUAAGCCAAGUGUGUAUAAAAACUGAUAUAGUUGAAAAGCUAUUUGACCCCG